rnacentral:miRNA from 1 species
GUUGGCCAAAACAUUUGUUCGGAUUUUUCCAUACCAUGUUAUGGAAAAACCCAAACGAACUUUUUGGCUAACGCUAUAUUAAAAAC